rnacentral:ncRNA from 1 species
GCAGAGUAGGGUUUUCCGCGCUGGAAAUAUAUGAUUAUUCCGCAGUGCCUUGUGAACAGGGAGUUGUCACGGGGACGAAGUGACGGCAUUGUUUGGCUUGCCGUCUGCGGUGGAUUGCCCGCAUCCCGCUG